GAUGAACGCUAGCGGCAGGCUUAACACAUGCAAGUCGAGGGGCAGCAUGAGACGGAGAUUCGUCGAAGUCUUGAUGGCGACCGGCGCAAGGGUGCGUAACGCGUGAGCAACUUGCCCGUUUCUGGGGGAAUAACCGGUGGAAACGCCGACUAAUACCCCAUAGUAUCAGAUUGAGGCAUCUUUAUCUGAUUAAAGAACUUCGGAAACGGAUAGGCUCGCGUGACAUUAGCUAGAUGGCGGGGUAACGGCCCACCAUGGCAACGAUGUCUAGGGGUUCUGAGAGGAAGGUCCCCCACACUGGAACUGAGACACGGUCCAGACUCCUACGGGAGGCAGCAGUGAGGAAUAUUGGUCAAUGGUCGGAAGACUGAACCAGCCAAGUAGCGUGAAGGAUGAAGGUUCUAUGGAUUGUAAACUUCUUUUAUACGGGAAUAAAACCUCUACGUGUAGGAGCUUGUAUGUACCGUAUGAAUAAGCAUCGGCUAACUCCGUGCCAG
rnacentral:rRNA from 1 species